AAUCUGCAUCAAGAGUCGGGCCGGCGCCCGGCACCAACCUGCUCCCGGGCAAGGUGGUGCCUCCGUCACAGGAGGGAUGUGGCCUGACCGGCAACAAACGGGAAAAGC
rfam:Azorhizobium caulinodans ORS 571 DNA, complete genome.